GAUGAACGCUGGCGGCGUGCCUAAUACAUGCAAGUCGAGCGAACAGAUGAGGAGCUUGCUCCUCCGACGUUAGCGGCGGACGGGUGAGUAACACGUGGAUAACCUACCUAUAAGACUGGGAUAACUUCGGGAAACCGGAGCUAAUACCGGAUAAUAUAUUGAACCGCAUGGUUCAAUAGUGAAAGACGGUUUUGCUGCCACUUAUAGAUGGAUCCGCGCCGCAUUAGCUAGUUGGUAAGGUAACGGCUUACCAAGGCAACGAUGCGUAGCCGACCUGAGAGGGUGAUCGGCCACACUGGAACUGAGACACGGUCCAGACUCCUACGGGAGGCGGCAGUAGGGAAUCUUCCGCAAUGGGCGAAAGCCUGACGGAGCAACGCCGCGUGAGUGAUGAAGGUCUUCGGAUCGUAAAACUCUGUUAUUAGGGAAGAACAAAUGUGUAAGUAACUAUGCACGUCCUGACGGUACCUAAUCAGAAAGCCACGGCUAACUACGUG
rnacentral:rRNA from 1 species